rnacentral:rRNA from 1 species
UACGGUGAAUACGUUCCCGGACCUUGCACACACCGCCCGUCAAGUCAUGGAAGCCGGGUGUACCUAAAGUCGGUAACCGUAAGGAGCCGCCUAGGGUAAAACUGGUGACUGGGGCU